GACAGAGGGUGCAGGCGUUGUUCGGAAUCAUUGGGCGUAAAGCGCACGUAGGCGGCUCCGCAAGUCGAAUGUGAAAGCCCACGGCUCAACCGUGGAAGUGCAUCCGAAACUGCAGAGCUUGAGUCCCGGAGAGGGUGGUGGAAUUCCUGGUGUAGAGGUGAAAUUCGUAGAUAUCAGGAGGAACACCGGUGGCGAAGGCGGCCACCUGGACGGUGACUGACGCUGAGGUGCGAAAGCGUGGGGAGCAAACAGG
rnacentral:misc_RNA from 1 species